rnacentral:lncRNA from 1 species
GCCCCACAGCCCAUCGGAGGGGAGCAGGCGCAGGCUGCUACUGACAGGGAUGCCCCCCGUGUUGGCAGACAGCGAGUGUUACGAGAACACGGAGGAGGACAGCGCCCCGCUGAGCCCCGGAGCUGUGCGGCUUGUAACAGACCUGCGGAUGCUGCUGCUGGGUGCAUGUGAGGAGCCGGAGCGGGAUCGGCAGGACGGACACAGUGAGGGCUCUGCUGGUGAGAGGGGCUAGGAGCUCCCCCGGGGGGGUGAAGGGUUCCCAGAGCUUUCCCUCAUGCCCCCUUGUUCCCCACAGGCUCCCAGGCCUAUGAGGAGAUGGCCGGGGCUCUGUAUGCAGCCCCUGUCCGGCACCUCCGCCUCCGGGACUGCAGCCAGGAGGAAGAUGCCGAUUCCUACGAGAACAUGGAGGGGGGGCCGGGCUGCGUCCUGCCUCCCUGGGAGGGGAGCGUGGAACUGCGAGGAGACGCUGCUGGGCUAAGGGCCCCAGGGUCUGUCGGAGCUGAACCCCCCAGGCGAGGGGUGCCCCGGAGCCUGACUCGGGACUAGGAGACGCCACCCCUGGGCCGAGACAAGCAGCGAGUGUAGCUGAGCCCACGAGCACAGGGCUCC